UACGUAGGGUGCAAGCGUUGUCCGGAAUUAUUGGGCGUAAAGAGCUCGUAGGCGGUCUGUCGCGUCGGCUGUGAAAACCCAGGGCUCAACCCUGGGCCUGCAUUCGAUACGGGCAGACUAGAGUGUGGCAGGGGAGACUGGAAUUCCUGGUGUAGCGGUGAAAUGCGCAGAUAUCAGGAGGAACACCGGUGGCGAAGGCGGGUCUCUGGGCCGUAACUGACGCUGAGGAGCGAAAGCGUGGGGAGCGAACAGG
rnacentral:rRNA from 1 species